AAUGUCACCAAUGUCACUAACCGUCAUUUGUGUUCUGUGCAAAUAAAACGAAAGAAAUGUGUGACUGAAAAAGACACGGCACAUGUUUUAAAAAUUAAUUUUUAAAUCGAUCCGAAUCUUCGUUGACACUUUACCGAUGGGUGCUACAAAAUCCAAAGAGCCGCUAAAUCCCAGCGCGGUGCAGUUGAUCUAUCCUUGCUGUCCGCCCGAUGCGACAAAGUUUACAUAAACGGCCUUCAGCGGACCCAUGACGAUUACAUUAAUCGGCGGUACUUAAUCUGUUCAAAGCCGAAACGUUUAAGGAUUUGCUGGUCGAAACCGGACAGUGCAAAGCGAAUCUGAAUGAACUGGGAAUAUUCAAGGAUGUGCAUGUUAGCAUCGACGUUAGCAAGGGGGA